CACGUAGGGGGCGAGCGUUGUCCGGAAUCAUUGGGCGUAAAGAGCUCGUAGGCGGCUCGGUAAGUCGGGUGUGAAACCCCCAGGCUCAACCUGGGGACGCCACCCGAUACUGCUGUGGCUAGAGUCCAGUAGGGGAGUGUGGAAUUCCCGGUGUAGCGGUGAAAUGCGUAGAGAUUGGGAAGAACAUCGGUGGCGAAGGCGCUCUGCUGGACCAUAACUGACACUCACAGGACGAAAGCUAGGGGAGCGAAUGGG
rnacentral:rRNA from 1 species